UUAUCUGUACAGUAAUUUCAAUUCAAGAACAACUCAUAACGUAUUCAUAGUUAUGUGAAUUCUCGUGUGUGUUGGUGGUGCUCUGAACGUGUCUUGUAUGGAUCAUAAAAAAAAUAAUGAUAAUGGAACAUUGAAAUAUAGAUUUUCAGUAUAGGAAAAAUCUUGAGAUAUGGGGGAUGUAUAUUGUGAAUUUGUUGUUUCUGCAGAAUAAGUAAUCACCAACACAUUAGUAGUGGAUGAGGUGAAACAGUUUGUGAAAGGAGGAACAUUAAAUCCUUACCCCCUUCUUGAUCGAAAGCAGCGUGACUUGAGGAGAGAAAGGAAGUGGUGAUUGAUCUAUACUUUGAGGGUUAUUUAGAGGAGUAGUUGGGUGGGAGUAGCUGAAAGU
rnacentral:lncRNA from 1 species